AAAGAUCGCAGCCUGCGGCAGCUCCUACAGGGGGAUUGCGUAUUUCCUGUGAGCUGCCGCAGGCUGCGAUCUUU
rnacentral:antisense_RNA from 1 species